rnacentral:rRNA from 1 species
AGAGUUUGAUCAUGGCUCAGAUUGAACGCUGGCGGCAUGCUUUACACAUGCAAGUCGAACGGCAGCACGGGGGCAACCCUGGUGGCGAGUGGCGAACGGGUGAGUAAUGCAUCGGAACGUGUCCUUAAGUGGGGGAUAACGCAUCGAAAGAUGCGCUAAUACCGCAUAAUCUCUGAGGAGAAAAGCAGGGGAUCGCAAGACCUUGCGCUUUUGGAGCGGCCGAUGUCUGAUUAGCUAGUUGGUGAGGUAAUGGCUUACCAAGGCUUCGAUCAGUAGCUGGUCUGAGAGGACGACCAGCCACACUGGGACUGAGACACGGCCCAGACUCCUACGGGAGGCAGCAGUGGGGAAUUUUGGACAAUGGGGGCAACCCUGAUCCAGCCAUGCCGCGUGCGGGAAGAAGGCCUUCGGGUUGUAAACCGCUUUUAGCCGGGACGAAAGCUGUAUGGAUAACACCCGUGCAGGUUGACGGUACCGGCGGAAUAAGCACCGGCUAACUACGUGCCAGCAGCCGCGGUAAUAC